UACGUAGGGUGCAAGCGUUGUCCGGAAUUAUUGGGCGUAAAGAGCUCGUAGGCGGUCUGUCGCGUCUGCUGUGAAAACUCAGGGCUUAACCCUGAGCUUGCAGUGGGUACGGGCAGACUAGAGUGCGGUAGGGGAGACUGGAAUUCCUGGUGUAGCGGUGAAAUGCGCAGAUAUCAGGAGGAACACCGGUGGGCGAAGGCGGGUCUCUGGGCCGUAACUGACGCUGGAGGAGCGGAAAGCAUGGGGAGCGA
rnacentral:rRNA from 1 species